GAUGAAGAACGUAGCGAAACGCGAUAGUUAAUGUGAAUUGCAGAAUUCAGUGAAUCAUCGAGUCUUUGAACGCACAUUGCGCCCAUUGGUAUUCCGUUGGGCAGGUCUGUUUGAGCGUCAUUACAACAGUUCAGCGUAAGCUGGUUAUGAGUUCUGUUUUUUUAAACAAAAAACAGGCUUUAAAAUGUAUGUUCUGCAGGUCGCUUUGCUAAACCCUAAACAUUAAAUACUGUUCUAGUGAAGCAUUUGCGACUCUGCCUGAAAAAAAACUUUUGUUAAAGUUUGACCUCAGAUCAGACAAGGAUACCCGCUGAACUUAAGCAUAUCAAUAAGCGGAGGA
rnacentral:misc_RNA from 1 species